rnacentral:rRNA from 1 species
AUUGGGUUGAAGAUCAAUUCAUAUCGACAAGACUUUCCAUUCAUCUUUUUGUUGAUAUUUGGAUUCCGUUUUCAAAUAAAGUCAUCUUGUAGUUAGAUAUCACCUUUAGAAUCAUCAGCCUCUGUCUGUUUGGGAGUGUGUUUAGUACGUGGCCGUGUUGUACUAGCAGUUUUUUGUUCUGUUCGCGUCUGCAGGCAGGCUUGA